GUAGGGGAUCUGUCUCUGGGGUGCAUGUAGUUGACAUGGUCUCCACUGACAUUCAGGGCAGUAGAGGUCGUCUCUAUGUGCUGAUCCAACAUCUGGUCUGGAUAUGGACUGGAUCUGGGUGUCUACAGUGACCAUCCAAUCAGGAUACAGACUGGAUCCGUAUGGCUACAUGAAGGUAGAGGUUUGGCACUUUUGUAGUCCAGAAGCUGCUCUCCUCCCAUCUUUGGCUUUACGGACACGUUGAGUCUACCAGAGGCCAUGGUGACUUCAUUUUCUUCAAGACCACACAAGCAAGCAAGUUUGCAGUCUUUAACAUAUGGAAAUAUAAUAGUCAUCUAUUCAAACAACUCCUUUUAAAUGUAAUGCUGUUAAGAUCACUUUUAAUAUCACAUGCUAUUGUCCUCGGGUCACUUGGAGUUUGAGUUGGAUGUGCUGUUGUCCUGUACCUUGCCAUGAGGCCAAUUCAGGUAAAAGCAAAGUAUUUCAAGCUCUUCUAGCCUCAUAUGCACUUGGCCUUUGGAAAUGGCGAGAAUGUUUCUUGAGUAAUCUUAACUAUUUGAAAUGAAUCUGUAACUAGGGGGUUUCUAUUUUGCAUGUUGGUCACUUUACAGGGUUGAGCUUUUUUCCCUCAAAAGCUUUAUAAUGGUGAAUGUAGCCAACCUUUAAUGCAGCUUUUAAUUGAUCAAUGCUAGGUAUAGUAAUUGUUGAGGAUCAGGGCAGAUUGCAGCUAAAGCCAGUAAAGCUCAGAUAUAGGGGUGCCUCAUUGUUGGCGAUUAGAAAUAAGGGAGUGGAAAUGCGUUUAGCCAUGUGUUAAAAAGCUUUAGGUUACACUUUCAAUCCCUCAAUUGUUAUUGUUGGUCUCCAUUUAUACUCUCGAAAGCUGUGGGGGAUCAUGGCCAUCCUUAAACGCAUAAUGAUCAACCAAAGUUAGGUUUAUUGUUUGAGGAGCGGAACAGUAGUCGGUCACCUGCAGGUGCAGGUGCAAAUCCAAAACUGCAAGCCCCGAUAUCAGCCCCAAACUUGGUGAUAAGAAAUUAUGUGCAAGAGGUGACUUAAUGUGCGCACAAGGUUUGAAGAUGGUUGAUUUUAUUGGUGUGCUAA
rnacentral:lncRNA from 1 species